AGAUAUAAAAUCCUAUUUUUAUAUUUGAUUGCUGCAUUCUCUCACUCUAUAGCAAACUCAUGCACAACGAAGGAACAAUCUGUGCUUACAGGUCCUUUAGCAUUCCUCUUAUUGUCCCUUUCAAUAUACUGAAGACUAUAUCUUGCAGGGUCAUUUGGCCCUACAUGGAUCAGAAGGAAAGCUUAAUGGUCAGUGGGCUUGAUGGGUUUUGCUCAAGUCGCUGCAGACAGCACACUUCUUGAGACAUCUUCCCAGGUUCACAUACCACAGUUUCUGUUCCUCUCAAGUGUUCCUCUCAUUUUUCUUUUUGCAUCAUCUCUUUUUAAUUAAAUAUUAAACUCUAAUAGAAAAAACAAAGAAAACGAACAAUAUUUCUGCAUACAUUAAAACACACUAACCUCACUAAUACUUACAAGCCAAACUACACAACAUACAUCUCUAUUAUAAAAAGGUAAAGGUUUCCCCUGACAUUAAGUCCAGUCAUGUCUGACUCUGGGGGUUGGUGCUUAUCUCCAUUUCUAAGCCGAAGAGCUGGCGUUGUCUGUAGACACCUCCAAGGUUAUGUGGCCGGCAUGACUGCAUGGAGCGCCGUUACCUUCCCGCCAGAGCGGUACCUAUUAAUCUACUCACAUUGGCAUGUUUUCGAACUGCUAGGUUGGCAGAAGCUGGAGCUAAUAGCGGGCGCUCACUCUGCUCCCGGGAUUUGAACCUGGGACCUUUCGGUCUGCAAGUUCAGCAGCUCAGCGCUUUAACACACUUCGUCACCAGGGCUCCUCAUCUCUAUUAUAAUUACAUAUAAUUCUGAACUACAAACAUAUAUACAUAAAAGGUAAAGGUUUCCCCUGACGUUAAGUCCAGUCGUGACCGACUCUGGGGGUUGGUGCUCAUUUCUAUUUCUAAGCCAAAGAGCUGCCGUUGUCCAUAGACACCUCCAAGGUCAUGUGGCCGGCAUGACUGCAUAGAGCACCGUUACCUUCCCGCUGGAACGGUACCUAUUGAUCUACUCACAUUGGCAUGUUUUCGAACUGCUAGGUUGGCAGAAGCUGGAGCUCAUAGCGGGCGCUCACUCUGCUCCCAGGAUUUGAAUCUGGGACCUUACGGUCUGCAAGUUCAGCAGCUCAGUGCUUUAACACACUUCGCCACCAGGGCUUCCACAUAUAUACAUACAUUGAUUUUAAAAGUGGAAUUCUUACUACUCUUUUUUCCAUUCUUUUUCAUUUAGUAUUUUUAAUUCCACCUUAUUGCAAACAAAUAGUCCUACUUAUUUUAACAUUGAUGAUCUCAUCUAAUGGGGGUGUAAUUGGCAGAAUGCACUGCUUCGCCUUCCCUUUCACUGUGGAGCCCGCCGGCUCCCAUCCCAUGACACAUUGCAACUUCUGGUGGGUUUGCACAGUGAAAGAGAAGGCAAACUGGCACAUGCCACCGUGGUGGCAACGUGAGAGGCUUCCUGUGUUGUCUUGAAUCAACGAGGGGAAUCUAGGUGGUGGAUGCUUCUCCCCGUGGGAUAGAUUUACUGCUCACUCAGCUCAUCUUGCCCUGCUGGCUUCACCUCACGAUGAAAAUGAAAUUGACUUCCGAGCAUUACAGAAUUCAAACAAAAAAGUAUUGGGUUGUGUUUUGCCUUGAGCCAUAAGGAAGGUUGGGUUGCUGACCUGAAAGCUGCCAGGUUCGAAUCCCACCCGGGGAGAGUACAGAUGAGCUCCCUCUAUUAGCUCCAGCUCCAUGCGGGGACAUAAGAGAAGCCUCCCACAAGGAUGGUAAAAACAUCAAAAAAAAAUCCAGAUGUCCCCUGGGCAACGUCCUUCCAGACAGCCAAUUCUCUCACUCCAGAAGUGACUCAAGUUGCUCCUGACAUGAAAAAAAAGCCAUAAGGAAAGGCAUACUGAAGGAAAACAAUGGGCGAGAAAGAAGAAGGAACUGCAAAAUACUUGGUCACCAUUUGUUGAACUGCACAGUUCAUUUUGAAAUAGCAUUUGCCUAUUGAAAUAUUUCCCUCCAAGGUGUUCACACAGAAAGUAUAAGCAAAUACUCCUCCAAAUUACAAGCCUAUAAAGCUUGAUUUGACUGAAGCAAUGUGACUGUCUCCUCAGGACUAAACUAUUUGUGGAUUGCUAUUUAAACACACCAAGCAGUUCAUUAUCAUUUGUGUUUCUCUGCUGGGCUUUUACCCCUUUGUAAAUCCACUUAAGUCCUGGAUUGAGACAUUCCUAAACCUGCCAGGUCAUUCCUGCUUAUCUUUCCCAUGACACUCUGUCUUCUAAUCAUCCUGAGGCCAUGUCAUUGCAUUUCUACAUAAAGCAGUUCUAGAUGAAUGGGGAUAUUCCUCCCCCAUACUCCAGCUCUGCUUUUUUUGCUAUGGGUUGAAGGGAGGGGGCUACCAGCACAGUUUAAACACAGACAGUAUGACAAAUGCAUGGAGAUUUUCUCAAGCAGAAUAGAGUUUGCGACCAUGGACUGAAUGUUAAAUGGACCAUGCCCUAAACAUAAAAACAACCCAAACAUACCUACUUGAUUUAUAUUAAUGCUCCCGCCCCGCACCCCAUCCCACCCUUCUGGUCAAAGGUUUAGGCACUUCAAAUAGUUUCCCAGGGCAACUUGACUGUGACAGACUUUUAAAAAGCUUCAAGACAUAAAUUGAAUUACAGUAUGCUCAGCUUGUGGUUGCUAGGGAGAUUCCCAAGAGUGAGAGAAAGUUCCUGGUGAUUCUUUGCUAGAUGUUGUGUGGAUUCUUUUCUUUUGCUUUCCUCUCCCCCCCCCCCCUUCCCCCAACUCUUCUUUUGGGAGACUGUGAAAUUAAAGCUUUGCGAGACAAAACUGAAGCUGGCAUGACCCUAUGAGAGAACAAAUUUGCAUAGAGCAGAUUUUUUAAAAAGCUAAAAAAAUCUCAUAGUCAGGUGAGUGGUUUUCGUUGAAUCUCUCUAGGUAGUAAACCUUUUCCUUUGCCACACUUAUAGAAAUCUGGAGGGUGGGGAGAUCGGAUCACAAACUUCUAUAAUGUCCAGACUUAACACAGACCUUCAAACCACUUGGUGGGGGUUGUCUGUUAAAACACCCCUCCUGAAAAGAGGCUUCUUGCAAACUUAAAACUCAUCACAUCAGGCCACAAGGCAUAUACAACUGUCUUCAUGAGAAAUGCAGAGUUUGCUCUUCUUGGAAUCCAGACUUUACAGACUUGUUUCUGUUGAUGCUGGACAUUGGAUUGGAUGUUAUGUUUUAAAUUUGGGAAUUUCUAUUUUGAGUCUGAGAAAGCACAGAAGAGCUGCAGGAACCCACUCACUGACCAAAAGUGAAUGAGUGAGGUUAAAAAGAAAUAUACACGGAAAAACAAAAACAUUUACCUACAGAAAGCUAUGUCAGAUCCACUCCAUGUCCCACCAGCAAUAUCCAGUUUUGAUCCACUGCCAAGCAAGAGCAUUCCACAAGAGUAAUUCUCAGAAAUAUUUUUGAAAAACAAAAUAGUCCAAUAACAACAACAACAACAACAACAACAAACAGAGGCAUAACACCAUUGCUCAUAUGAUUCAUUGGAACUUGUGCCACAAAUACCAUCUAUCUGUGACAAAGAACUGGUGGGAUCACAAGCCGGAAAAAGUUACAGAGAAUGAACAUGUCAAGCUACUCUGGGACUUUCGAAUUCAGACAGACAGGGUUCUGGAGCACAAUACUCCUGACCUCAUGAUCGUGUUAAAAAACAAAGUAUGGAUUGUCGAUGUUGCAAUCCCAGGUGACAGCAGGAUUGAGACGAAACAACUGGAAAAGCUGACAUAAUAUGAGGAUUUAAAGAUCAAAUUGCAAAGACUGGCACAAGCCAGUCAAGGUGGUCCCCAUGUUUUAUCAAGCAAAACAUGAUAAUAUAAUGUACCCCAUGUAAGCCGCCCCGAGUCCCUGUUGGGGAGAUGGUGGCGGGGUAUAAAUAAAGUAUUAUUAUUAUUA